CCCGCCCUGCCCGGACCGACACGGGGCCGGAGGUGUCCGCCCGCCGCCGUUCUGCGGGGGGGAGCCGGGAAGGAAUGGGCGCGGGGGGACCCGGAGCCCCUCCUGGCUCUGUGAGAAGGGGUCGGCGGCUCCAUCCCCGCGUCCUCCCUCUGCCGUCCUCCGUCCUUCCUCCCUCAUCCUCCAUCCUCGCUCUGCCAUCAGCCCAGAACCACGGAACCGCAGAACCACGAAGGGUCCUCCCAGCACUGUCGCAUCAAAGGCAUUUCCCAAAGGAAGGUCACCCUGACUUCAAAGAGAAGACACCACGCAGUGCCGGAAGAUGAAAGCAAAGGGGCCGUGAUUUAUAACCCGGCGCUGGGAAGGGCUCCAGAAAGCCGUCAGCAUCCUGAGGACGAGCCGCUCAUCCCUUCUACAGAGCCGCAAUGUCUCCUGGCGGAGCUGGGGCACCGCGUCCCGCUGCUGGGACAGCCUGCUGCGGGAGGCAGCUCAGAUGCUCUCCCGGGGCACGGCAGCUCUGCUGGGAGCUGAGGACAUCCCAGCAUCACCAUUUCCACUCUUGGGUGCACAGCAUGCAACCUUAAUGCCCAGCGUGCUGAAGUCAGCCACCAUUGAUGCACACACAGUCCUGCAACGUGCAGAGCAGAGCCCAUACACAGCGCUGGGAGCCCGUCCUGCUGGGGCACGGCUAUGCCCACAGAUUGCAGCAUUGGGACCCCCCAAAGCCCCCUGGGCUUCCCAAAGGGAGCCCCUCUGAGCGCUCACAGAGCCAUCCCCACCCAAAGGGCAAAGCCUGGCGGGACACAGUGCUGGAUGGCAGAGCUGGGCAUCACCGACGGGGCGGCUAAAUGAAUGGCUGCCAGAAGAAAUAAAGAGGAAACGAUUUAGCAAA